rnacentral:rRNA from 1 species
GUAUUUUGACCGUGCAAAGGUAGCGCAAUCACUUGUCUUUUAAAUGGAGACCUGUAUGAAUGGCAUAACGAGGGCUUAACUGUCUCCCUCCCCCAGUCAAUGAAAUUGAUCUUUCCGUGCAGAAGCGGGAAUAAACCCAUAAGACGAGAAGACCCUGUGGAGCUUUAGACAAUAAAUAGCCCAUGUAAAGAACGCUCACUAAAGGAGCUAAAACAAACGGGUGACUAUUUUGCUGUCUUUGGUUGGGGUGACCGCGGGGUAACAAAAAACCCCCAUGUGGAAUAAGAAUAACCUUCUUUAAACCAAGAGUACCUCCUCGAAGUAACAGAACAUCUGACCUAUUAUGACCCGGCUUUGCCGAUCAACGAAACCAGUUACCCCAGGGAUAACAGCGCAAUCCUCNCCCAGAGCCCAUAUCGACGAGGGGGUUUACGACCUCGAUGUUGGAUCAGGACAUCCU